GAUGAAGAACGUAGCGAAAUGCGAUAAGUAAUGUGAAUUGCAGAAUUCGGUGAAUCAUCGAAUCUUUGAACGCACAUUGCGCCCGCCAGUAUUCUGGCGGGCAUGCCUGUUCGAGCGUCAUUUCAACCAUCAAGCCCCCGGCUUGUGUUGGGGACCUGCGGCUGCCGCAGGCCCUGAAAAGCAGUGGCGGGCUCGCUGUCACACCGAGCGUAGUAGCAUACAUCUCGCUCUGGGCGUGCUGCGGGUUCCGGCCGUUAAACCACCUUCAUAACCCAAGGUUGACCUCGGAUCAGGUAGGAAGACCCGCUGAACUUAAGCAUAUCAAUAAGCGGAGGA
rnacentral:misc_RNA from 1 species